GUAAGUUCUACUGCUGAUACAUUACAGUUUUUGUUUGAUCUACUCAACGUGUGAAAUGUGCUCAGUGUUUCCGUGUAUUAAUUGACAGUCAGAUGUGAUUGUUAACCUAAGCUCCAAUCCAGAAAACAUCUUUGUAUCCUGAAUUUUAGGAACAUAUUUACCAAUUCAAGUCUGAUGAGAGAGUUUUAACCCUAAUAUUCUGCUGCAUGCUGCAACUGCUUUUGGCUAGUUGGAAAACACAAGGAACAGGACAAAUACAGACUGAUCCUUUCCUGAUUUAUUCUCCCAUUAUUCAGCCAGGCAGAGAGAAAGAGAUGGAAGAUUUCGGGCCUUCAGGUGUUUCUCUGCGGAUUCCUGGGAAGACCUGCAGCUGCCACAUACUGCAGGCACUGCCUCUGUGCCACGUAGCAUCUUGAGAAGUAAGCUUGGGCUCAACUAGAAGUGGCUUGCAAGUACGACAGUUUCAGCAUGCAAGGUGCUCUGCCAGUGAGAGAACUACUGUGUUUUGCUCCAAUGCAGAAGUUCCGAAUUACAAAACUCAUGUAGCCUCACAAAUUGAGGCUACAAACAAAAUGACGUGCUUUGUUAAUGCCCUGCACACCAUCACGAAGCAAGAGGCAUUGCUCCUGGUGAAGGCAGGGUAGCUGGACUGGCUGGGUUUGACCUGUUCCCACUUGUGAAAGCCAGGCCUUGUGCUGGUGCACGCUGUGGGUGAAAAAGAGUGAAGAAAGACAAGGCCACAGCACCACAUUACAAUGGCAGCACAGGGAUUUCUGCCUCCUCAGACUACCAGAAACACGUUAGGAAGAAGAGCCCCACACGCCCGCCUUUCCCUUCCCUGCUUGCACUAUCAGAAGAACAUGAGGGAUAACAGUGUGCUGUGGUUGCCUCUCCUGAGCUGUGUUCACAGUGCAACACAAGGAUGUUCAGGCUCUUGCAGACCUACAGAGCACUGCUGAAGCCAUCAAGAGAGAGGCACUCCUGAGGGCUAUAGCCUCAACUCAGUGUCAGUAGUUCACACCCUAAAGCAAGGAAUAAAGGACCUUCUUCGGAAACAAAUGGGGGAGAGAUGUUUUGCUUUUACCAAAAACAGACAUAAUGUAAUUUCAGUACUGCAAUCAAAGCCAG
rnacentral:lncRNA from 1 species